rnacentral:rRNA from 1 species
UUUCCGUAGGUGAACCUGCGGAAGGAUCAUUAUUGAAAUAAACCUGAUGGGUUGCUGCUGGCUUUCUAGGGAGCAUGUGCACACUUGUCAUCUUUAUAUCUCCACCUGUGCACCUUUUGUACAUCUGGAUAUCUUUCUGAAUGCCUGGCAUUCAGGUUUGAGGAUUGACUUUUGUCUUUCCUUACAUUUCCAGGCCUAUGUUUUCUUCAUAUACACCCUGUAUGUUAUAGAAUGUAAUAAUAAGGGCCUUUGUGCUACAAACCUAUACAACUUUCAGCAACGGAUCUCUUGGCUCUCGCAUCGAUGAAGAACGCAGCGAAAUGCGAUAAGUAAUGUGAAUUGCAGAAUUCAGUGAAUCAUCGAAUCUUUGAACGCACCUUGCGCUCCUUGGUAUUCCGAGGAGCAUGCCUGUUUGAGUGUCAUUAAUAUAUCAACCUCUUCAGGUUUUACUUGUCGAGUGUUUGGAUGUGGGGGUAUCUUUUGCUGGUCUCUUUUGAGGUCGGCUCCCCUAAAAUGCAUUAGCGGAACAAUUUGUUGACCCGUUCAUUGGUGUGAUAACUAUCUACGCUAUUGACGUUAAGCAGGUUCAGCUUCUAACAGUCCAUUGACUUGGACAAAUUUCAUUAAUGUGACCUCAAAUCAGGUAGGACUACCCGCUGAACUUAA